UGGCUCGUGCUGGAGAAGCAGGGCACGUGCAAUCUCUUUGCUGUUUUCUAAACAUAAUUCAUGAGUUUUGCACGUGCUCCCCUUCUCCAACAUGAAUCC
rnacentral:pre_miRNA from 1 species